CCGUAACUAUAACGGUCCUAAGGUAGCGAAAUUCCUUGUCGGGUAAGUUCCGACCUGCACGAAUGGCGUAAUGAUGGCCAGGCUGUCUCCACCCGAGACUCAGUGAAAUUGAACUCGCUGUGAAGAUGCAGUGUACCCGCGGCAAGACGGAAAGACCCCGUGAACCUUUACUAUAGCUUGACACUGAACAUUGAGCCUUGAUGUGUAGGAUAGGUGGGAGGCUUUGAAGCGUGGACGCCAGUCUGCGUGGAGCCAACCUUGAAAUACCACCCUUUAAUGUUUGAUGUUCUAACGUUGGCCCCUGACCGGGGUUGCGGACAGUGUCUGGUGGGUAGUUUGACUGGGGCGGUCUCCUCCCAAAGCGUAACGGAGGAGCACGAAGGUUAGCUAAUCCUGGUCGGACAUCAGGAGGUUAGUGCAAUGGCAUAAGCUAGCUUGACUGCGAGCGUGACGGCGCGAGCAGGUGCGAAAGCAGGUCAUAGUGAUCCGGUGGUUCUGAAUGGAAGGGCCAUCGCUCAACGGAUAAAAGGUACUCCGGGGAUAACAGGCUGAUACCGCCCAAGAGUUCAUAUCGACGGCGGUGUUUGGCACCUCGAUGUCGGCUCAUCACAUCCUGGGGCUGAAGUAGGUCCCAAGGGUAUGGCUGUUCGCCAUUUAAAGUGGUACGCGAGCUGGGUUUAGAACGUCGUGAGACAGUUCGGUCCCUAUCUGCCGUGGGCGCUGGAGAAUUGAGGGGGGCUGCUCCUAGUACGAGAGGACCGGAGUGGACGCAUCACUGGUGUUCGGGUUGUCAUGCCAAUGGCACUGCCCGGUAGCUAAAUGCGGAAGAGAUAAGUGCUGAAAGCAUCUAAGCACGAAACUUGCCCCGAGAUGAGUUCUCCCUGAGACUUUAAGUCUCCUGAAGGAACGUUGAAGACGACGACGUUGAUAGGCCGGGUGUGUAAGCGCAGCGAUGCGUUGAGCUAACCGGUACUAAUGAACCGUGAGGCUUAACCUU
rnacentral:rRNA from 1 species